UGGUGGGUAGUUUGACUGGGGCGGUCUCCUCCUAAAGAGUAACGGAGGAGCACGAAGGUUAGCUAAUCCUGGUCGGACAUCAGGAGGUUAGUGCAAAGGCAUAAGCUAGCUUGACUGCGAGAGUGACGGCUCGAGCAGGUGCGAAAGCAGGUCUUAGUGAUCCGGUGGUUCUGAAUGGAAGGGCCAUCGCUCAACGGAUAAAAGGUACUCCGGGGAUAACAGGCUGAUACCGCCCAAGAGUUCAUAUCGACGGCGGUGUUUGGCACCUCGAUGUCGGCUCAUCACAUCCUGGGGCUGAAGUAGGUCCCAAGGGUAUGGCUGUUCGCCAUUUAAAGUGGUACGCGAGCUGGGUUUAGAACGUCGUGAGACAGUUCGGUCCCUAUCUGCCGUGGGCGCUGGAGAAUUGAGGGGGGCUGCUCCUAGUACGAGAGGACCGGAGUGGACGCAUCACUGGUGUUCGGGUUGUCAUGCCAAUGGCACUGCCCGGUAGCUAAAUGCGGAAGAGAUAAGUGCUGAAAGCAUCUAAGCACGAAACUUGCC
rnacentral:rRNA from 1 species